CAAAAGUUUGUGUAAAAUUUUAUGAUAUAGCAAGUGAAGAUCGAAAGAAAAGGCUGGAUUUUUUGAAGAAAGGAACACAGCUGAAUUAUCAACGUCACUGGAAAACAAACAUAUCAAGUGGGAUUCUAGAUGGGAUUACAUUUUGGAGUCUAUGCCUCAUCCCCACAUCCAGUGGCUUAGGUAAGCACUUUAUGAAAUAAAGAAUAAGCAGCUUCAUGGAGUUCCUGUUGUGGCUCAGUGGUUAACGAAUCUGACCGGCGUCAAUGAGGAUGCAGUUU
rnacentral:lncRNA from 1 species